GUGAGACCAAGAACCCACCAAUUCCGGACACAGAAUGACACAGAGAUUAGCAUGGCUCCUCCACAAGGAUGACACGCACCUUCACGAAGCAUUCCAUUUUUUC
ensembl:snRNA U6 U6 spliceosomal RNA